UAGGAUUUACCGUUUGGACUUAUAGUUAAUGUUUUAUGUUUAUGAUAUAUAAUUUGGGUUUAAGGUUUACGGUUUGGGUUUAGGGUCUAGGACUUGGGUUUAUGGUAUAGAGUUUAGGUUUAUAGUCUAGUUUUUGGGUUCAGGGUAUAUAAUUAGGGUUUAGGGUCUAGGAUUAGGGUUUAAGGUAUAGGGUUUGAGUUUAGGGGUUUGGAUUUGGGUUUAGAAUUUAGGGUAUAUGGUUUAGAAUUUAAGAUUUAGGAUUUAGCGUUUAGCUGGAAGCGUUAUCGUCAUUAAAAUUAGUGUUUUUAUUUUUUGAAUAGGAAUAUAUAUAUCUAACCC
rnacentral:lncRNA from 1 species